GUGUCAGCCGCCGCGGUAAAACGUAGGACGCAAGCGUUAUCCGGAGUUACUGGGCGUAAAGGGCAGGCAGGCGGGCUGAUAAGUUGGGUGUGAAAUCUCCAUGGCUUAACCUGGAGGGUGCAUCUGAGACUGUCAGCCUGGAGGGCAGCAGAGGAGCGUGGAAUUCCGGGUGGAGUGGUGAAAUGCGUAGAGAUCCGGAGGAACACCAGAGGCGAAAGCGGCGCUCUGGGCUGCACCUGACGCUGAACUGCGAAAGCCAGGGGAGCGAACGGGAUUAGAUACCCCCGUAGUCC
rnacentral:rRNA from 1 species